CUUUGACCCAGAUGUGAUUGAGGACUCGGAUUGUAACCGCCUGGUACCUUAUCAGCGCUUCCCUCCUGGUGAAAUGCCUGUGUAGUAAGGCGGUUACCACCAUUAAACGACACGUUUCGGAGAGAGAGAAUCCUUGCCCUGGGUAGUGGCCUUUGGUGGUGGUCAUCUUACUCUGGAGUACAGUGGCUCAGAUACCAUCUUGAAUUGUUUACAGUCCUAAGGCACAAAGGUGGAACUGCUCAUAGUAUUCUGGAGUCAAGAGCGGAAAGGAGGCAGAGAGAGAAACAUCUAUGUAUAAGAGAAACAUCGACUGGCUGCCUGCCACACUAGCCUGGACUGGGAUCCUAUGCAACCAGACCUGGAAUUGGACUUGCAAUCUAGCACAUGUCUCCACCAGAACUAAAAUGAAACUCCUCAGUUAUUGGAUGAUGCUCCCGCCAACUGAGCCACACUAGCCAGGGCUUUUUUCAGCAUGCAUUCUGCCCUGGGCAUGCAUGUGGUUUUCUUAAGUUUCUUAAGUUUCUUAAUUUGCACAGGCACUUAUUUUUGUUUUUUAAAUUAUUUCACAAUUACAGUUUAUAGUCAAUGUUAUUUUGUAUCAGUUUCAGACAUACAGAAUAGUGGUUAGACUAUGUACUUUAGAGAGUGGUCUGCUCAAUAUUUUAAAUACCCACCUUGACCCAAUACAAAGUUAUUAUGAUAUUAUUAACUAUAUUGCCCACACUGUAAUUUAUAUCCUCAUAACUAUUCUGUAACUACUAAUUUGUAUUGCUUAAUCCCCUCACCUUUUUAACCCAGUCCAUGAACCACACCCCUCUGUCAACCAUCAGUCUGUUCUCUGUAUCUAUGAGUCUGUUUCUAUUUUGUUUUUUUUAUUUUGUUCCUUUGAUUUCACAUUUAACUGAAAUCAUAUAUCUGUCCUUUUCUGUCUGACUUAUUUUACAUAGCAUAAUGUAAAAUAACAGCAUAAUUCCAUCUAGGCACAUCCAUGCUGCCACAAAAGUUAAGACUUCAUUUUUUAUGCAUAGUAAUCCAUUGUGUUAUAUGUAUAUAUAGCUUUUUUAUUCAGGGGAACUUCUAUGUCUCCUAUUUCUUGGUUAUUAUAAAUAUUGCUGCAAUAAAAAUGGGGGUGCACAUAUUCUUUUGAAUUAGUGGUUUGGGAUUCUUUGGAUAUAUUCCUGAAAGUAGAAUUACUGGUUCAUAAGACAAUUCCAUUUUAAAUUAUUUGAGGAAACUCUACAGUGUUUUCCAUAGUGGCUCCCAACAACAGAGCAUGAGGGUUCCCUUUUCUACACAUCUUUGCCAACAUUUGUUUGUUGAUUU